GAUGAAGAACGCAGCGAAAUGCGAUAAGUAGUGUGAAUUGCAGAAUUCAGUGAAUCAUCGAAUCUUUGAACGCAUAUUGCGCCUGCCGGUAUUCCGGCAGGCAUGCCUGUCCGAGCGUUAUUUCUCUUAGUCGCGCGGCAGAGCCGCGCGGCCUUGGGGUGUCCCUGCGAGGGAGCCCUCAAAGCUACUCUGCCGUAGACGACUCAGCGCCGGAGUGUUGCAAAAUACCCAGCUCCACCUGCGUCGGCUGCGCUGCUGUGUACGCGAGCCCUCGGGCCGCACUUCUCUAUUUAACCUCGGAUCAGGUAGGAACACCCGCUGAACUUAAGCAUAUCAAUAAGCGGAGGA
rnacentral:misc_RNA from 1 species